UAUGUGAUUAGGAAUGUAUGUGUAGUUUAAAGAUAGCAUUGAAAUCAGCAUGGUUCUAGGUGUAACUGCAGCAGAUAUAACACAGAAGUCGUAACCCUCUAAAGUUUCUGAAUCACAACUGAAUUGGCUAGGCCAGCUUGCUCUACCGUCUGGUCCAGAUCAGAGAGUUGUUUGGGAGGAAAGCCCACUGUCUGCAGUUGAUAAUUCCUUGACCCACCAGGCCUUGAUGCAUCAAUAAACCCUCGAAUAUCCCUGAUUGUGUGUUGGUAGUUAAACCGAGAAACCAUUCGUGUACCAUCUGCCAACCUUAGUUGAAUUGAGGUUGAGGGCUGUGACUGAUCAACAACUAGGCCCACUGAUGGGGAUGGAGCUGCGGUGAAUGAUGAGAUAGUAGCAGUUGAGUCUACUUGUUCAGCAUUGCUAGUGCUACCUAAAGUUCUUCCCACACCCUGAAAUAAUGCACGGCGCUUCUCUGGUACAGGGCAGUCCUCCUCUCUCCUUGUCAGAUUAACUCGGACAGACGUCCUCCUGUCUUCUGGCUCAAGUUCUUUUGGGCACUCAGACUUCCGGAUACUCUCUAAGAAAGGGGCAUUUUCUGGAUCAUCAAACCUCCGCAAGGGUCCAUCAUCAAUAGUGAACCCAUUGGUCCAGAAAGUGAUGGUAUGAGUAACACUCUCAGGUGGCUGAGGAGCAGCAGACACAGUCUCACCCGUAAGUCUUCUAGCAGUUCCAAUAAAGCUUCUAGAGCCAGAUGAUGCUGGAGGUCCUUCAACAGUUGCAUGUUGUCUAGCUUGAUCGAAUAUUGAGUUCACAUCAUUUGCCUUAGAUGGAUCUUGAACAAGCAUUCCGCUUUUCUCUCCGCCAGUAUAAUACUCUUGAGGCUCAUCGGAGUCACUCCCAGACCCAGUAACAGGACGACGAUUCAGAUCAGAAAAAGAGUGAAUUCCACCAGUUCUCCUCCCAGCAGCGCCGCGGCUAGAAGUUGGAGGGUUUCUAGGUCGAGGUGGAGAAGGAGAUCGCGAGCGCGACGGAGAACGGCCUUGCGCAGCAGCAACAUGAGUGGCGGCGGAAGCAUGGAUUGGAGCUUGAUCGCCGUCAUCAACGGCAGCAGCAGAGGCGGAGUUAAAGGUGUUGUUCUCGAAGAAGGUGGAAACAGCAGCAUCCAAAUCGAAGUUAUGGCUUUCAAGGAAGAAAAGGGCUUCAGGUUUAGAAGCAGAAGUAAUCUCACAGAAUGUGUUGACAAGUUCUUCUCUUUGUGCGUCGGCGGCGAGAUUUGCCUGAUUUUCCAUUUUUGCUGAAUUCUG
rnacentral:misc_RNA from 1 species